rnacentral:rRNA from 1 species
UACGGGGGGGGCAAGCGUUGUUCGGAAUUACUGGGCGUAAAGGGCUCGUAGGUGGCCAACUAAGUCGGACGUGAAAUCCCUCGGCUUAACCGGGGAACUGCGUCCGAUACUGGUUGGCUUGAGUUUGGGAGAGGGAUGCGGAAUUCCAGGUGUAGCGGUGAAAUGCGUAGAUAUCGUGAGGAACACCAGAGGCGAAGGCGGCUACCUGGACAAUUGCUGACGCUCAGGCACGAAAGCGUGGGGAGCAAAAGGG